AGACGGGGGGUCCAAGCGUUGCUCGGAAUCAUUGGGCGUAAAGGGGGCGUAGGUGGCUUUGUAAGUCAGAAGUGAAAGCCCUGGGCUCAACCCGGGAAGUGCUUUUGAUACUGCGAAGCUUGAAUGUGGUAGAGGAUAGUAGAAUUCCUGGUGUAGUGGUGAAAUACGUAGAUAUCAGGAGGAAUACCUGUGGCGAAGGCGGCUAUCUGGACCAACAUUGACACUGAGGCCCGAAAGCGUGGGGAUC
rnacentral:rRNA from 1 species